AACGAACGCUGGCGGCAGGCCUAACACAUGCAAGUCGAGCGCCCCGCAAGGGGAGCGGCGGACGGGUGAGUAACGCGUGGGAACGUACCCUUUGCUACGCAAUAGCCUUGGGAAACUGGGAGUAAUACCGUAUGUGAUCUUCGGAGGACAGAUUUAUCGGCAAAGGAUCGGCCCGCGUUGGAUUAGGUAGUUGGUGGGGUAAUGGCCUACCAAGCCGACGAUCCAUAGCUGGUUUGAGAGGAUGAUCAGCCACACUGGGACUGAGACACGGCCCAGACUCCUACGGGAGGCAGCAGUGGGGAAUCUUAGACAAUGGGCGCAAGCCUGAUCUAGCCAUGCCGCGUGAGCGAUGAAGGCCUUAGGGUUGUAAAGCUCUUUCAGUGGGGAAGAUAAUGACUGUACCCACAGAAGAAGCCCCGGCUAACUCCGUGCCAGCCGCCGCCGUAA
rnacentral:rRNA from 1 species